GACGAACGCUGGCGGCGUGCUUAACACAUGCAAGUCGAACGGAAAGGCCCUGCUUUUGUGGGGUGCUCGAGUGGCGAACGGGUGAGUAACACGUGAGUAACCUGCCCUUGACUUUGGGAUAACUUCAGGAAACUGGGGCUAAUACCGGAUAGGAGCUCCUGCUGCAUGGUGGGGGUUGGAAAGUUUCGGCGGUUGGGGAUGGACUCGCGGCUUAUCAGCUUGUUGGUGGGGUAGUGGCUUACCAAGGCUUUGACGGGUAGCCGGCCUGAGAGGGUGACCGGCCACAUUGGGACUGAGAUACGGCCCAGACUCCUACGGGAGGCAGCAGUGGGGAAUAUUGCACAAUGGGCGGAAGCCUGAUGCAGCAACGCCGCGUGCGGGAUGACGGCCUUCGGGUUGUAAACCGCUUUCGCCUGUGACGAAGCGUGAGUGACGGUAAUGGGUAAAGAAGCACCGGCUAACUACGUGCCAGCAGCCGCGGUGAUACGUAGGGUGCGAGCGUUGUCCGGAUUUAUUGGGCGUAAAGGGCUCGUAGGUGGUUGAUCGCGUCGGAAGUGUAAUCUUGGGGCUUAACCCUGAGCGUGCUUUCGAUACGGGUUGACUUGAGGAAGGUAGGGGAGAAUGGAAUUCCUGGUGGAGGCGGUGGAAUGCGCAGAUAUCAGGGAGAACACCAGUGGCGAAGGGCGGUUCUCUGGGCCUUUCCUGACGCUGAGGAGCGAAAGGCGUGGGGAGCGAACAGGCUUAGAUACCCUGGUAGUCCACGCUGUAAACGGUGGGUACUAGGUGUGGGGUCCAUUCCACGGGUUCCGUGCCGUAGCUAACGCUUUAAGUACCCCGCCUGGGGAGUACGGCCGCAAGGCUAAAACUCAAAGGAAUUGACGGGGCCCCGCACAAGCGGCGGAGCAUGCGGAUUAAUUCGAUGCAACGCGUAGAACCUUACCUGGGUUUGACAUGGAUCGGGAGUGCUCAGAGAUGGGUGUGCCUCUUUUGGGGUCGGUUCACAGGUGGUGCAUGGCUGUCGUCAGCUCGUGUCGUGAGAUGUUGGGUUAAGUCCCGCAACGAGCGCAACCCUUGUUCACUGUUGCCAGCACGUUAUGGUGGGGACUCAGUGGAGACCGCCGGGGUCAACUCGGAGGAAGGUGGGGAUGACGUCAAGUCAUCAUGCCCCUUAUGUCCAGGGCUUCACGCAUGCUACAAUGGCUGGUACAGAGAGAGGCGAGCCUGUGAGGGUGAGCGAAUCUCGGAAAGCCGGUCUCAGUUCGGAUUGGGGUCUGCAACUCGACCUCAUGAAGUCGGAGUCGCUAGUAAUCGCAGAUCAGCAACGCUGCGGUGAAUACGUUCCCGGGGCU
rnacentral:rRNA from 1 species